rnacentral:rRNA from 1 species
UACGGAGUGUGCAAGCGUUACUCGGAAUCACUGGGCCUAAAGGGCGUGUAGGCGGGCUUUCAAGUCGGUUGUGAAAUCCCUCAGCUCAACUGAGGAACUGCAUCCGAUACUGUUUGUCUUGAGGACGAGAGGGGAGAGUGGAACUUCUGGUGGAGCGGUGAAAUGCGUAGAUAUCAGAAGGAACGCCGGUGGCGAAAGCGACUCUCUGGCUCGUAUCUGACGCUGAAACGCGAAAGCUUGGGUAGCAAACGGG